rnacentral:misc_RNA from 1 species
AUAGCCAAUUCAUACAAUAGUUGCUUACUAUACUAUUAAUAUCUGGUCCCACCUGUCAUACUUACAUUACGUCUUGGAGUCCGUGCUACAGCUGGCUACAAAUCUGUAGCUCGCUGCUCUUCUCUCUCUUUAUCUCUUUAAAAUAUGUUUAUAGCUGGCCUAUAGUCUGCUAUUGUACCUGCUCUAAGCCGGCUAAAUGCUGAAGUGGAGGAGAGAGAGAAGAAGCGGGCCGUAAAAUUAUAGCCGGCUUAGACACAGAAACCAAGAAACUCUGUGAGAGAGACAAGUGAGCCCUAUAUUAAUUAUAAAGAGCUAAUUAUUAUAUGGGUAGGCUGA